AGAGUUUGAUCAUGGCUCAGAACGAACGCUGGCGGCAUGCCUAACACAUGCAAGUCGAACGAUGCUUUCGGGCAUAGUGGCGCACGGGUGCGUAACGCGUGGGAAUCUGCCCUUUGGUCUGGGAUAACUGUUGGAAACGACAGCUAAUACCGGAUGAUGACGUAAGUCCAAAGAUUUAUCGCCAGAGGAUGAGCCCGCGUCGGAUUAGCUAGUUGGUGGGGUAAAGGCCUACCAAGGCGACGAUCCGUAGCUGGUCUGAGAGGAUGAUCAGCCACACUGGGACUGAGACACGGCCCAGACUCCUACGGGAGGCAGCAGUGGGGAAUAUUGGACAAUGGGCGAAAGCCUGAUCCAGCAAUGCCGCGUGAGUGAUGAAGGCCUUAGGGUUGUAAAGCUCUUUUACCCGGGAUGAUAAUGACAGUACCGGGAGAAUAAGCUCCGGCUAACUCCGUGCCAGCAGCCGCGGUAAUACGGAGGGAGCUAGCGUUGUUCGGAAUUACUGGGCGUAAAGCGCACGUAGGCGGCUUUGUAAGUUAGAGGUGAAAGCCUGGAGCUCAACUCCAGAACUGCCUUUGAUACUGCAUGGCU
rnacentral:rRNA from 1 species